GCUGUCAAAGUCACCACAGCUCUUUGCAGGGUUUUUCUGUAGACAUUUGCAGCACAUUUCUGAAACAAAAACAGAAAUUGCUGGUGAAACUGAGGUCUAGCUGUAUCUGCAUGAACAAAAGCAGAAUUAACAUUUCAAGUCCAGUGACUCUUCAUCAGAACUAUUCACUCUUCCUGAUCUCUUUACACCAGAAAGCAGUCACCAGCUAGCAGGAUGGAGACACAAGGCAAAAUCAGCAUUCAACUUCGUCAGAACUUCAGACGUACCCAUGGUGCAGGGUGCCAUUGACUGCACACACGUAAUUUUGUGGGCAAUGCAUAUCACUGCUACCCUAUUCCAGAAUCAAAAGAAACUCCAUUCGCUGAUCUCCAGCCUGUGUGUGCCCACGGACAAUGAAACAUGGUUCUUUGUUCCACCGAAAUUCCUUUUCCGAGGGUGGAUGAGAGAAUGUCAACUUUGAGACAAUUACAGAACUGUUCUUUAAAGUGUUUCCAGAAUAUGAGCAUAAAAUAUUGUGGUAAACUCAUGAGGGCUGGCUAUUUUCCUCUGACAAAAAACAUUGUUCUGUAUCUAAAAGCGUGAAACAAUUCUUAGCUGUCAUUUUUUAUUAAACAUGUGCUUA